AACGAACGCUGGCGGCGUGCUUAACACAUGCAAGUCAGGGGGAAAGUCCUUUCGGGGGCGAGUAUACCGGCGCACGGGUGAGUAACACGUGAGUAACCUGCCUUUUAGACUGGAACAACUUACCGGAAGGUGAGCUAAUGCCGGAUGCAUUAUGUAACUGCAUGGUUAUAUAGAAAAAGCCGGGGCAACCUGGCGCUGAAAGAUGGACUCGCGUCCCAUUAGCUAGUUGGUGGGGUAGAAGCCUACCAAGGCGACGAUGGGUAGCCGGCCUGAGAGGGUGGCCGGCCACACUGGGACUGAGACACGGCCCAGACUCCUACGGGAGGCAGCAGUGGGGAAUUUUGCGCAAUGCUCGAGAGAGUGACGCAGCGACGCCGCGUGAAUGACGAA
rnacentral:rRNA from 1 species